rnacentral:rRNA from 1 species
AUUGAACGCUGGCGGCAGGCCUAACACAUGCAAGUCGAGCGAGUGGCGGACGGGUGAGUAAUGUAUGGGGAUCUGCCUGAUGGCGGGGGAUAACUACUGGAAACGGUAGCUAAUACCGCAUACCAUCAGAUGAUCCCAUAUGGGAUUAGCUCGUAGGUAGGGUAACGGCUUACCAAGGCGACGAGCCCUAGCUGGUCUGCGAGGAUGACCAGCCACACUGGGACUGAGACACGGCCCAGACGCCUACGGGAGGCAGCAGUGGGGAAUAUUGCACAAUGGGCGCAAGCCUGAUGCAGCCAUGCCGCGUGUAUGAAGAAGGCCUUCGGGUUGUAAAGUACUUUCAGUCGGGAGGCGUUACCGACAGAAGAAGCACCGGCUAACUCCGUGCCAGCAGCCGCGGUAAUUC